rnacentral:sRNA from 1 species
GCGGCAGGGCGGGGCCGGAGCAGCGGGCGGCGGCGGCGGAGGCGGCGCCCGGGAGCGCUCUUCGCUUCCCUCGGGGUCUUGCUCGGACCUCGGCCACCGCCUGGGAUCCCCAGGACUCGUGCGUGCAGCAUGGGCGGCGUCGGGGAGCCGGGACCGCGGGAGGGACCCGCGCAGCCGGGGGCGCCGCUGCCCACCUUCUGCUGGGAGCAGAUCCGCGCGCACGACCAGCCCGGCGACAAGUGGCUGGUCAUCGAGCGCCGCGUCUACGACAUCAGCCGCUGGGCACAGCGGCACCCAGGGGGCAGCCGCCUCAUCGGCCACCACGGCGCUGAGGACGCCACGGUUGGCCACACUGGGUAUCAGGAAGGUCUUCAAGACCCGAGGACAUGAAUCCUGAAUGCUGGCUCUUUGGGCAGCAGCGGAGGUUCUGUCCAGUCCCAGGACUGUCGGCGUCCCUCUUGCCAGGGCCACCUGCUCUCUGCCGAUUGCCAUCUCCAGCAUGUUGGACAAUCUUCACUGGACUCUUUGAGGAA